GAAAUAGCUCAGUGGUAGAGCACAUGCUUAGCAUGCACAAGGUCCUGGGUUCAAUCCCCAGUACCUUCA
rnacentral:tRNA from 1 species